AGUGGCGAACGGGUGAGUAACACGUGGGCAACCUGCCCAAAAGAGGGGGAUAACACUUGGAAACAGGUGCUAAUACCGCAUAACCAUAGUUACCGCAUGGUAGCUAUGUAAAAGGUGGCUAUGCUACCGCUUUUGGGUGGGCCCGCGGCGCAUUAGCUAGUUGGUGGGGUAAAGGCUUACCAAGGCAAUGAUGCGUAGCCGAACUGAGAGGUUGAUCGGCCACAUUGGGACUGAGACACGGCCCAAACUCCUACGGGAGGCAGCAG
rnacentral:rRNA from 1 species